CGGGCUGUAGCUCAGCAGGCUAGAGCGCUACGUUCGGGACGUAGAGGUCGCUGGUUCGAGUCCAGUCAGCCCGA
rnacentral:tRNA from 1 species